AGGUCAGCGUGGGGAGCAAACAGGAUUAGAUACCCUGGUAGUCCACGCCGUAAACGAUGUCGAUUUGGAGGUUGUGCCCUUGAGGCGUGGCUUCCGGAGCUAACGCGUUAAAUCGACCGCCUGGGGAGUACGGCCGCAAGGUUAAAACUCAAAUGAAUUGACGGGGGCCCGCACAAGCGGUGGAGCAUGUGGUUUAAUUCGAUGCAACGCGAAGAACCUUACCUGGUCUUGACAUCCACAGAACUUUCCAGAGAUGGAUUGGUGCCUUCGGGAACUGUGAGACAGGUGCUGCAUGGCUGUCGUCAGCUCGUGUUGUGAAAUGUUGGGUUAAGUCCCGCAACGAGCGCAACCCUUAUCCUUUGUUGCCAGCGGUUAGGU
rnacentral:rRNA from 1 species